rnacentral:rRNA from 1 species
UACGUAGGGAGCGAGCGUUGUCCGGAAUUACUGGGCGUAAAGGGUGCGUAGGCGGCAGGCCAAGUCAGAUGUGAAAUUCCCGGGCCUAACUCGGGGGGUGCAUUUGAACCUGGUCGGCUUGAGUGCAGGAGAGGAAAGCGGAAUUCCUAGUGUAGCGGUGAAAUGCGUAGAUAUUAGGAGGAACACCAGUGGCGAAGGCGGCUUUCUGGACUGUAACUGACGCUGAGGCACGAAAGCGUGGGGAGCAAACAGG